CUUCCUAUAUGGCCUCCUCUUUGGCCUCGCCGACACCUGGCAGGCGAUGCCGGACAAUAAGAUGGUGGGGAAGGCGAUUAAGGACCCCGAUCGCCUCCGAGUCAUCGCCUCCAACCCUAGGCGGUACACCGGCCGGCCGAGGGUGGGGACGAUGAGGGAGAUCUCGAGGGUGUGUGAUUACUUGCAAGCUAGCUUUUGUAAUGUGACGGCCCCGUUUCUUGUUGUGCACGGAACCGAUGAUGGGGUGACCUCGCCGGAGGGAUCGAAGAUGAUGUAUGAGAAGGCGGCGAGCGAGGAUAAGUCGAUUAUUAUAUAUGAGGGGAUGUAUCAUUCUUUGAUUCAGGG
rnacentral:misc_RNA from 1 species